UACAGAGGUAGCAAGCGUUGUCCGGAUUCACUGGGCGUAAAGGGCUUGUAGGUGGCUUUUUAAGUCAGAUGUGAAAUCGUCCCGCUUAACGGGACAAUUGCAUUUGAUACUGAUUGGCUUGAGUGCAGGAAGGGAAACUGGAAUUUCCGGUGUAGCGGUGAAAUGCGUAGAUAUCGGAAAGAACACCAGUGGCGAAGGCGGGUUUCUGGCCUGCAACUGACACUGAGGAGCGAAAGCCAGGGGAG
rnacentral:rRNA from 1 species